rnacentral:rRNA from 1 species
GUCUACGGCCAUGCUACCCUGAACAAGCCCAAUCCCGUCUGAUCUUGGAAGCUAAGCAAGAUCAGGCCUGGUUAGUACUUGGAUGGGAGAUCACCUAGGAAGACCAGGUGCUGUAGGCG